CGCUGGCGGCAGGCUAACCAUGCAAGUCGAGCGGAUGAGAAGAGCUUGCUCUUCGAUUCAGCGGCGGACGGGUGAGUAAUGCCUAGGAAUCUGCCUGGUAGUGGGGGACAACGUUUCGAGAGGAACGCUAAUACCGCAUACGUCCUACGGGAGAAAGCAGGUGACCUUCGGGCCUUGCGCUAUCAGAUGAGCCUAGGUCGGAUUAGCUAGUUGGUGAGGUAAUGGCUCACCAAGGCGACGAUCCGUAACUGGUCUGAGAGGAUGAUCAGUCACACUGGAACUGAGACACGGUCCAGACUCCUACGGGAGGCAGCAGUGGGGAAUAUUGGACCAUGGGCGAAAGCCUGAUCCAGCCAUGCCGCGUGUGUGAAGAAGGUCUUCGGAUUGGUAAGCACUUUAAGUUGGGAGGAAAGGCAUUAACCUAAUACGUUAGUGUGUUGACGUUACCGACAGAAUAAGCACCGGGUAACUCUGUGCCAGCAGCCGCGGUAAUACAGAGGGUGCAAGCGUUAAUCGGAAUUACUGGGCGUAAAGCGCGCGUAAGUGG
rnacentral:rRNA from 1 species